rnacentral:lncRNA from 12 species
UGGUGUCACACGCUGGUGGCAGUUGGUGACACUGGUGACACUUUGGUGACAUCCCUGUCACACGCUGGUGGCAGUUGGUGACACUGGUGGUAGUUGGUGACAUUUGGUGACAUCCCUGUCACACGCUGGUGGCAGUUGGUGACACUGGUGGUAGUUGGUGACAUUUGGUGACAUCCCUGUCACACGCUGGUGGCAGAUGGUGACACUGGUGGCAGUUGGUGACAUUUGGUGACAUCCCCGUCACACGCUGGUGGCCUGGCCGUCGUCGCCGGGCUCGCUGUCACCCCCUGGGGACACGGGGACAGUGCGGGGACGUCCCCAGGCCCUGCGCAGCUCCCGCUCCAACCCCGAGAGACGGCGCUCCUGGGGACAGGGACAGUGUCACCGCUGCCACCUGCGUCACCUGGGUCACCUGAGUGUCACCUGUGUGUCACCUGAGUGUCACCUGAGUGUCACCUGGGUCACCUGUGUGUCAUCUCUGUGUCACACCUGUGUCACUGUGUCACACCUGUGUGUCACCUGUGCCAUCUCCUGUCAGCUCCGUGUCACCUGUGUCCCCCUCCAUGUCUCCCCGUGUCCCCCCCAGUGUCCCCAAUGUCCCCAUCCCAGUCUCCCCAGUCCCGUCCCAGUCUCACCAGUCCUGUCCCAGUCUCCCCAGUCCUGUCCCAGUCCCAUCCCAGUCUCCCCAGUCCCGUCCCAGUGUCCCUAGUCCCCUCCCAGUCUCCCCAGUCCCAUCCCAGUCUCACCAGUCCCGUCCCAGUGUCCCCAGUCCCCUCCCAGUCUCCCCAGUCCCGUCCCAGUCUCACCAGUUCCUUUCCCCUCUCCUCACUGGUUUUCAGUCUCUCCAGAUCUUUCCUCCGGGUCCCUUCGGCCGCCGUCAGCCUGGGGGGAGGGGACGGGGUGGGACCCCCAAACUGGGACACCCCCAAACUGGGACCCCAAACUGGGACAUCCCAAACUGGGACCCCAAACUGGGACCCCCAAACUGGGACCCCAAACUGGGACACCCUAAAACUGGGACCUCAAACUGGGACCCCAUACUGGGACCUCAAACUGGGACACUCCCAAACUGGGACCCCAAACUGGGACACCCCCAAACUGGGACCCCCAAACUGGGACACCCCCAAACUGGGAACUCAAACUGGGACACCCCCAAACUGGGGUACUUCAAACUGGGAGCCCAAAAUGGAACCCCAACUGGGACACCCCCAAACUGGGACCCCCAAACUGGGACACCCCCAAAAUGGAACCCCAAACUGGGACACCGGUGUGGAGACCCCAAACUGGGUCCCCAAAAUAGGACACCCCCAAACUGGGAUCCCCAAACUGGGACAACCCCAAACUGGGAUCCCCAAACUGGGACCCC